rnacentral:pre_miRNA from 1 species
UGUGCACUGGUGGGGUCCCUCAGCCUGGCCUGCACCCUCUCGCAAUCCAGGACCCCCUGGGGGAUGUCAGACUGCCGGUUUUGGCCUGAUCCCUGCAGGCCAGGCUGAGGGACCCCACCGGUGCACG